UCGAACCCACCCCGCACGACUUGGCUCCUCCCGAUCCCUAGAACUCCCAGAGGAGACGCCGCCGCCGCUGUUCGUGACGCAGCCGCACGAGAUCGCCGCCGCCGCUGACGUCCGGGAUCGACGUCUCUCGCUGCCGUGAUCUGGUGCGUUCUCGCUGCAGCCGAAUAGGGUUUCAAGUCCACGGUAGGGAGGCGGCCUCGAGCGUUGGCCGCGCCGCCUGGGUCUCCUCGAGCUAGGGCCCCCAGCGGGGAUGGUACUAUUUCUCGCUGAUCUACACCGCGCGACGUUGAGGACUUGAAGCCACCGCCGUCUCCAGCCACCCCCGUCUCUGAUCCGAGCCGAGCACAGGGGAGCCACCGCUGCCGCCGGGGACAAGGUCGCCUGUGGAAACCGCCGCUACCUCAGGUCCUUCGAUCUCUCCCCUUCUCGCCACUCCUCAUGGCCCGCUCCGCACAGCUCGGCCUUCACGGCGGGGAUUUGCUCUAUGGCGAAGAGAGGCCGCUGCAGGCGCCAUGGUGCCGAUCCGGUCAUUGUUGUCUAGCUUCCUUUGAUGAACUAGAAGGCCAAGAGACCAAGGACUCCAGUGGGCGACUCCAAACAUGGGUACUCCUGAAACUUUAGCCAGUUACCAUGUUGAUGGUAUUUUUGGGGAACAAGGGAGGGCGUCUAUUAUUGUUAAAACCAGGCGCCUGAUUUUUUUUAAUCUUUAGCCAGCGACCACAUUGCCGCCUUAAGCGAUGAACAUGGAAGGGCGUGUGUUAUUGCAGGGAACUAUGUCUCAUCUGGUCUUCAUAGUGAUUGGUAGCUUAAAACUGUAAGCCACUUAUACUUGGGAACUACUUUUCAGUGACAGCUGUAUUGACUAAGGGAAAACUACGGCUGGCUUACGCCUACCUGAACUAUAUUCGAAACUAUCCGAGUGUAAAGCAGAUUACAACAACCUUAAAGGAGUUGUGUGAUCUGAGGAGAAACUACUCUCUUGCAAAUCGGAUAGUUGUUGUAGGAAUUAAAAGGCACAUGAUUGUACUAUUGUUCUGGGAUUUUGUUCUACACGUUCCUCCACCCUAAUGUCUACAGGAGGUGUUAGUUCAACGGAUCGAUGAAAUCACAUUACUAUAAGAAUGAUGGAUAUGGCCGCAUAAAUCGCACCGAUGGAUCCAGUCCUUUGCCAGGUCCAAUGUGCCCCGCACCAGCCUCAAGCACGCGAGACACUAUUGCCUUGUGUUCUAACUGGUUACCACGAUCAAAUCCAUUUUUGCCCAUUUAAAUUAGUUAGCUCAGUUUUGUUGAUAACUGAGUUUCAUUGGUAAUAUAUACUGAAGUGUCUUUGGCAUUCUGUUUUACAAUAUAUUCUAAUUGUCAGGAUUUUUGCUACAUUUUUGGUGUGUAGAUUUUAGGGACAUUACUGUAGUGCUAAUGCCUUCCGUGCAGUUUAUUCAGUCAGUGCAUAUUCUUUCCUUUUGCAUGUGUAUGCUUGCUCUUGUGCCCAUGUUGUAAUCGUGACCUGUAAUUAGUCCGAUAGCAACAGAAUCCUUGUGUGACGUGAUCGCAGAAGUUGGGCAUUCAUGUCACUUAAUCGUGACCUGUAAUUAAUUUUUAUUUAGUUCGUUCAGUUACUAUCAUUGGAAGUGCCAGAAAGAUCUCACCGUCAAGAGCAGCGCUGCAGGGUCAUUCACCUGGUUGUCCUCUUUGAUGUAUCUGGUGUUGUUGUGUCCAUGUGGAAGGAGAGCCCGCUUAUCCAGGACGCCGGCGCUGACAUAGUCACCAUAGGCACCGUCAUGGCAGUGCUCGACUUCAGGGAGGAGGUCGGCAACCACCACUUCUUGGACCAAUCAGAUAUUUGUUGGCAACGGCUUAUUGGUUUUGCUCAAAUCAAUAUUACUUCCACUAGCAGGAAGUGGUUCAAGCAUACUUAUCCAAAUCUUAUAAUCCUGAUGGGAGAAGACUUUGUAAGGAGUUCAGGCUGAAUGGCCAGUUAACAAGAAUCGGGUGGAUCUGCGUGUGGUGGAUGAUCGUUUACAAGGAAGGUUGAAUGUAUGGUUCCUGGAGAUGAUCAGAUGGCGCCAUGUAUUCGACCUGCGAUUUGUGGUAAGUUCCAAAAUGUACAGUGAAAAUCGGUCUUUGAGAUACAGAUAAAUUGGUUUUGCACAUAAAAUUCAUCAUGCAACUGUUAUAAUUUGGGUGCGCUUCGUAGAGUCUUUUGAAGUUUUGAUGCAUGUCGAUAUGGCAUAACAUCAGACAUCUUGCAAUAAAAUUAAUUUUCUCCCCGCUGUCUCGUGACAGAGAAUUCACCAUAUGUGUUUAAUCCAUGAAUAAAUUAGAAUAUGCUCUUCUUUAUUAUUACUUUCGGAAGAAUUAGACUGCAAUAGAUAAAUAUAUUCAAAGAUUCAAAAUGAUAUAACAAUCAGUCAGGAGAAGAUAUAUGAAAGGAAUGCAUAGCCUAAGUGUGUACAUUGGCUUCCCUGGAAAAAAAAUUGUAUGUCCAUUAGUUUUUCCCCACUGUAUCAUUGGAACUCAUUUGCACAUAUUUCCACUAGAGAGAGAGAGUAAGGUUUCCCCAUUGCAGAAAGUAUGCUGCUGCUUUGCAUAUUCGUAAAGACAUACCAUAGCAUCAGGUAUUUUCUGUUCAUCAUAAUUACUGUUUGGUUCGUCCUAGAAAGUGCAGUAGGUGUCAAGAAAAAAUACAAUAAAUUCUAUGACCUUAUAAAUUGUUUAUUAUUAAAAUUGCCAAGGUGCCUUCACCCUCUUAUUUUAUUCACACUUCCACUGAUGGAGUAAUAUGUUCUCUCUGAACCUUAACAGCCUUCAUCAAAGCUACACAAAAAAGUAACAAGAACCGACACAUUUGUUCAUAGCCUAACAAAAACUUCUACAAAGGUGCAAUCCUCAAAUAUGGGCUGUCGUACUAGCCUUAAUUCAACAUCGCGGCGGGCAGUGUGGCUGGUACUUGCGGCAGUAGCGGAGUGGUGUGCGCGAGCGCAGUGUAGGCAGUGGUGAAAGGCUCAUUGCGGUUGCGAGCACGCCGUUGGCACUAGUGGGUUUUCAGGCUGAUUGUUGCUACGAAGAAUGGAAUGGUCAUGCUAUUGGUAAAGAACACUCUCGGAAGUUGGAUCUCUCCUUUUGUGCUAUUAUUGUUGAAAUCCAGAGGCUCAUUACAAGGAAUUGUCAUGUUUUGUGUACCUUGUAAUAGUGACACGCAUGGACGUGUGAUGUUGAGUGAUAUUGGUCCUAUUUAAUAAUGGAUGGUAUAUGUGCUUUAGUGACAGACGAUUUUCUGGUUUAGGAGAGACCAAGACUGCCGAGAAAGAAAGAAGCCGAAGAGAGUUUGAAUU